rnacentral:rRNA from 1 species
UCAGAUUGAACGCUGGCGGCAGGCUUAACACAUGCAAGUCGAACGGUAACAGAAAGUAGCUUGCUACUUUGCUGACGAGUGGCGGACGGGUGAGUAAUGCUUGGGAAUAUGCCUUAUGGUGGGGGACAACAGUUGGAAACGACUGCUAAUACCGCAUAACAUCUCCGGAUCAAAGUGGGGGACCUUCGGGCCUCACGCCAUAAGAGUAGCCCAAGUGGGAUUAGCUAGUUGGUAAGGUAAUGGCUUACCAAGGCGACGAUCCCUAGUUGGUCUUAGAGGAUGACCAGCCACACUGGAACUGAGACACGGUCCAGACUCCUACGGGAGGCAGCAGUGGGGAAUAUUGCACAAUGGGCGCAAGCCUGAUGCAGCCAUGCCGCGUGUGUGAAGAAGGCUUUCGGGUUGUAAAGCACUUUCAGCGAGGAGGAAAGGGUAAAUCUUAAUAGGGUUUAUCUGUGACGUUACUCGCAGAAGAAGCACCGGCUAACUCCGUGCCAGCAGCCGCGGUAAUACGGAGGGUGCGAGCGUUAAUCGGAAUUACUGGGCGUAAAGCGCGCGUAGGCGGUUAAUUAAGUCAGAUGUGAAAUCCCAGGGCUCAACCUUGGAACUGCAUUUGAAACUGGUUAACUAGAGUUUUGUAGAGGGUGGUAGAAUUUCAGGUGUAGCGGUGAAAUGCGUAGAGAUCUGAAGGAAUACCAGUGGCGAAGGCGGCCACCUGGACAAAGACUGACGCUGAGGCGCGAAGGCGUGGGGAGCAAACGGGAUUAGAUACCCCGGUAGUCCACGCAGUAAACGAUGUCUAUUAGAAUUUUGUGGCUAUAUGCCGUGGGAUUCAAAGCUAACGCAUUAA